UACGAAGGGGGCUAGCGUUAAUCGGAAUUACUGGGCGUAAAGCGCGCGUAGGUGGUUCAGUAAGUUGGAAGUGAAAUCCCCGGGCUCAACCUGGGAACUGCUUUCAAAACUGCUGAGCUAGAGUACGGUAGAGGGUGGUGGAAUUUCCUGUGUAGCGGUGAAAUGCGUAGAUAUAGGAAGGAACACCAGUGGCGAAGGCGACCACCUGGACUGAUACUGACACUGAGGUGCGAAAGCGUGGGGAGCAAACAGG
rnacentral:rRNA from 1 species